rnacentral:rRNA from 1 species
GGAUUAGAAACCCCGGUAGUCCACGCUGUAAACGAUGAAUACUAGGUGUCGGGGGUCAAAGCCCGGUGCCGCAGCUAACGCAUUAAGUAUUCCGCCUGGGGAGUACGGUCGCAAGACUGAAACUCAAAGGAAUUGACGGGGACCCGCACAAGCAGCGGAGCAUGUGGUUUAAUUCGAAGCAACGCGAAGAACCUUACCAGGUCUUGACAUCCCUCUGAACGGCGCUUAGCAGCGCAAGGCCUUCGGGACAGAGGAGACAGGUGGUGCAUGGUUGUCGUCAGCUCGUGUCGUGAGAUGUUGGGUUAAGUCCCGCAACGAGCGCAACCCUUGCCUUUAGUUGCCAUCGCGUAAUGGCGGGCACUCUAGAGGGACUGCCGGUGACAAACCGGAGGAA